UGUUAUUUACUGAGUUGAAUAGGAUCCAAAAUGCAGCAGUCUGAUUGGUCCUAGAACAAUAGGAUUCAGAAUGCAGCAGUUUGAUUGGUCCUAGAACAAUGCAGCAGUAUGAUUGGUCUGCAGGAGCCACCCAAUCCGGCUCCAGAUGGAAUUGAAUCCACAACCUGAUUGGCCUACAGGAGAAUUCCGGAAUUAGCCAAUCACGUGCAGCCCAUUGUGUAAAUAAUGUAUAUAAAGCAGAUACUUUGAGGGGACUUUCAUUCCUCCUCACCACUAUGAGCUGAAUAAAGAGCAUGAAAUCC